rnacentral:rRNA from 1 species
GGCUCAGAACGAACGCUGGUAGCGUGGAUUAGGCAUGCAAGUCGAACGGGAUCCGCGAGGUAGCAAUACUGAGCGGUGAGAGUGGCGGAUGGGGAGGAACACGUGAGCAACCUGUCCUUGAGUCGGGGAAAACCGCGGGAAACUGCGGCUAAUACCGGAUGUGGCGUCCGACGACAUCGUCGGAGCGCUAAAGGGGGCCCGCAAGGGCUCUCGCUCUUCGAGGGGCUCGCGCACCAUCAGCUUGUUGGCGGGGUAACGGCCCACCAAGGCCUACGGUCAGCUGGUCUGAGAGGAUGACCAGCCCCACUGGGACUGAGAUACUGCCCAGACUCCUACGGGAGGCUGCAGUCGAGGAUCAUUUGCAAUGGGCGAAAGCCUGACAAUGCGACGCUGCCGUGGAGGAUGAAGGCCUUCGGGUUGUAAACUCCUGUCAUAUGGGAACAGGCGAGGGGACCCAACACGUCCCUUAGUUGAGUGUACCUUAAGAGGAAUGGGCGGCUAACUCUGUGCCAGCCGCCGC